rnacentral:rRNA from 1 species
GACGAACGCUGGCGGCGUGCUUAACACAUGCAAGUCGAACGGAAAGGCCCUGCUUUUGUGGGGUGCUCGAGUGGCGAACGGGUGAGUAACACGUGAGUAACCUGCCCUUGACUUUGGGAUAACUUCAGGAAACUGGGGCUAAUACCGGAUAGGAGCUCCUGCUGCAUGGUGGGGGUUGGAAAGUUUCGGCGGUUGGGGAUGGACUCGCGGCUUAUCAGCUUGUUGGGGGGGUAGUGGCUUACCAAGGCUUUGACGGGUAGCCGGCCUGAGAGGGUGACCGGCCUCAUUGGGACUGCGAUACGGCCCAGACUCCUACGGGAGGCAGCAGUGGGGAAUAUUGCACAAUGGGCGGAAGCCUGAUGCAGCAACGCCGCGUGCGGGAUGACGGCCUUCGGGUUGUAAACCGCUUUCGCAUGUGACGAAGCGUGAGUGACGGUAAUGGGUAAAGAAGCACCGGCUAACUACGUG